UCUUUAUUUCCCAUACUCUCUCA
rnacentral:miRNA from 1 species